UACGUAGGGUGCAAGCGUUGUCCGGAAUUACUGGGUGUAAAGGGUCCGCAGGCGGACAAAUAAGUCGAUGGUGAAAUUCUCCGGCUCAACCGGAGAUCUGCUGUUGAUACUGUUUGUCUUGAGUUCGAGAGAGGAUGAUGGAAUUCAUGGUGUAGCGGUGAAAUGCGUAGAGAUCAUGAAGAACACCGGUAGCGAAGGCGGUCAUCUGGCUCGAAACUGACGCUCAGGGACGAAAGCGUGGGUAGCAAACAGGAUUAGAUACCCUGGUAGU
rnacentral:rRNA from 1 species